CCUGGUUGAUCCUGCCAGUAUCUCAUCUUUUUGUUCAAAGAUUAAUCCAUGCAUGUGUUUGGCACAGUCAUAGUGCCUGCGGGUGGCUCAUUAUAAAAGAGUUAACCUAACCUUUGAUUUUUGUGGCUAACUUUGCUAAUUGUGGAGCUAAUACGUUAUAUAAAGUGUUAUCACUACAUCUAUUAAGUUAAAGCAAUCAAUCAGGAUUUUAUUAGGAUGUAAAGACAUGUUCGAUAAAGGAAGGGUCUCUGAUCUAUCAGCUGCAGACGGUUAUGUAUUGGAUAACCGUGGCUUCAACGGAUAACGGGGAAUUGGGGUUUGAUUCCGGAGAGAGCGCAUGAGAAAUGGCGCUUACAGCUAAGGUUGGCAGCAGGAGCGAAAACUUUUCGAAUAAGCAUUGCUUGAAAAGGUGACGAACUGUAUCAACAUCGGCAAUAUGCUGGUGAUUGAAAUGAGCGGCGCAUAACUGACGCUGCGAGUAGCAAGUUCAGGGGAAGUCUGGUGCCAGCAGCCGCGGUAAUACCAGCUGAGCGAAGGAUGGAUAAUGUUGUUGCAGUAAAAACAUUCGUAGUCAUCUACUCCCUUGUGAAUUACGCUGAGCGUUAUAAACGAGAGAUUUGUAAACAAUCCGCGAUUAAAUUGGAACGAUUUAUUCAAAAGUUGAACACGAAAGCGUGGUAAAUCUGAUGAUGCCUUUUCCAGA
rnacentral:rRNA from 1 species